CCUUGUGAAGAUGCUACUCAGGUUGUGCAAACUGCAUUUGAUGAUACCAAGCUGAAAGUUCACCGGUGCUCUGCUGCAGCUGAAUUAUCCACACGCGGGCCAAGAGCCAGUUGUCAGCUACAGAAGCUCCAAGGACUUCUGAAAGAUGAACCUCGGAAAUUCUCACUCAGGAAGCCAGGACUAAUUUUGAAGCCUAUCCCAGCCCUGUCGGUGUUGGACAAUCAACCCUCUCAAAACAUUGUGGCCGUUCUACCAGGCAAGAGGAAGAGCAUCUGUUAUGGCUUUGUACCAGGCCCUGAAGGUCAGCACAGCCUGAAGUGGAGCAAGAAUAUUAUUCCCUGCCACAACAGAGAGCGGAAGGUGUUUGAAAAACUCAAAGGAGCAGAUUUCAAGUAAGCCAACCUAAUUGCUAGAAAGCACUGAAUGUGGGAAAAGAGACCUACUAUGUUAAAGGCUCCCAAAUCAUUUUACAUACUGUAUGUCAGGUGUUACAGUAUGAAGAUAGUGUAGUAUACAUGACUAGGUUGAUUAAUUUUAGGGUGUAUCCAAAUGGAACCAGUUCUGUAGGAGACAGCUUGGUGUUUUUGGGAGGCUGACCUUUGAUGUCCAACCCCUUAAUCAAGGAAGAGAGUUUGCCACUGGUCAUUACUUGCCCUGGGUGUCACUGUGCAGUACCAACAUAGUCACCGGCUCUUCCCACAGUACUGUCAGUGGCACUGGCACUUCAGUUUACACUUAAGUGAGACUACAGUGGAGGCUGUGGUCUGCAGCCUUUCUAAUCUAAGUAAUACAAAGCCUUGUUCUGGCCGAGCAAUUCUUACCUUUAUAGUUUAAUUACACUGCUAGGCAUUUGAACACAUUUCAUGUUUGACCUUUCUAGACUAGGCCAUCAAACAAAUCUAGAAUUAACAGGAAACUUUUAGUUACUAACUCAUUACAUAUGAAGGAAUGUGAAAUGGUUUAAUGCGUGUAUUAUUCCUUAGUGUGGGAGAUUAUUUGUUAUUUUGCUCUCAUGCAAGCCCAUCUUCUAAGAUACUGCUGUGCUUCAUGCAUGUAUUGUUUUUGCUGUACUCUUACAGACUCCCACACUUGCUGUAAGUCAUGCUAAAUGAGGUCAGACGUCAGCUUUUUAGGUGUCAACUUGCAAACCGAUUGCUCAUUAGUUGUGAGGCUGAACCUGAUAUUCUAGUAGGUUCAACAGCAGACUGAACUGAGCAAUGGCUCCUGAGUCAAGCAACAGGAAUGAAGUAACACAGUAAUUGAUAUGUGUGGCAAGCUUGUUGGGUAGUACCACAAAUUUAACAGAUCCAGUGGAGUUUGGUAAAUGUGUUUGUUUGCUGAAGAAGUGUCACAAUUGUUAAUUUAGAGACCUGUAGAUUAAAGGAUGCAGCCUAAUAUGAGUGACAUUUUUUUUUUUCCAUUCCAGUUUAUUCUGCUAUAAACAUUCGCUUAUUUACAAGCGUGACCAAUCAGCAAGAGGACGCUUUGCUAACAGGGCAGAACAGGAAGAUCCUCUCCAGAAUGAAAUGCCAGAGCCAGCUGUUACUCUAGAUACAGGUAACUUGGUAAACAGAAAGCACUUAGCAAAUGCCAGAGUAUUGGUAAAUGUACCUGUGAUCUAAAAUAAUUGCCUUCUUAAUGAAAUCUGGCCAGCAAAUACUUCCCUAAGCCAAGUAGGACAGUUUCUUAAGUGUUUAUCCUGUGUCACAGGAUAAAACUGACUUGCUGAGGUAGGAGGUAACUACACUGUAUUUGGAGAUUACUAAGAGGCUAGGUUAAAAAAAAAAAGUGUAAAUAGGCAUUGAGUUUGAAUAAUGUUUAUGAAAAAUGUAUUGUCAUGACAUUUGUUUAGAUGAUAUCUAACGUAUCUUUAUUUAAAGUUUGUUUUUAUUAAAAAAAAAAACAAACCACAACAAACAACAAUGGCUAAGUAAGUGUAAGGCCGGGGCCAUGAGAGAACAGAACAGGAUGUUCUGAUAAGUACAGGGAAUAAUUUCUAAACGAGAGCUGAGACAGCACAACAGCCAUCUUUGGAGAGACUCAAAGCUUGCCUGGACAAGGCAAUGCUGAUUGCACUUGGCC
rnacentral:lncRNA from 1 species